UACGAAGGGGGCUAGCGUUGUUCGGAAUUACUGGGCGUAAGCGCGCGCAGGCGGUCUUCCAAGUCAGUGGUGAAAGCCUGGAGCUCAACUCCAGAACUGCCAUUGAAACUGUUAGACUUGAGUACGAGAGAGGUGAGUGGAAUUCCCAGUGUAGAGGUGAAAUUCGUAGAUAUUGGGAAGAACACCAGUGGCGAAGGCGGCUCACUGGCUCGUAACUGACGCUCAGGCGCGACAGCGUGGGGAUCAAACAGG
rnacentral:rRNA from 1 species